rnacentral:rRNA from 1 species
UUAUGGAGAGUUUGAUCCUGGCUCAGGAUGAACGCUGGCGGCGUGCCUAAUACAUGCAAGUCGAGCGAACAGACGAGGAGCUUGCUCCUCUGACGUUAGCGGCGGACGGGUGAGUAACACGUGGGUAACCUACCUAUAAGACUGGGAUAACUCCGGGAAACCGGGGCUAAUACCGGAUAACACAUGAAACCGCAUGGUUUCAUGAUGAAAGACGGUUUUGCUGUCACUUAUAGAUGGACCCGCGGCGUAUUAGCUAGUUGGUAAGGUAACGGCUUACCAAGGCAACGAUACGUAGCCGACCUGAGAGGGUGAUCGGCCACACUGGAACUGAGACACGGUCCAGACUCCUACGGGAGGCAGCAGUAGGG